UACGUAGGGGGCAAGCGUUAUCCGGAUUUACUGGGUGUAAAGGGAGCGUAGGCGGCGAUGCAAGUCAGAAGUGAAAGCCCGGGGCUCAACUCCGGGACUGCUUUUGAAACUGUGUUGCUAGAUUGCAGGAGAGGUAAGUGGAAUUCCUAGUGUAGCGGUGAAAUGCGUAGAUAUAUGGAGGAACACCGGUGGCGAAAGCGGCUCUCUGGCCUGUAACUGACACUGAGGCUCGAAAGCGUGGGGAGCAAACAGG
rnacentral:rRNA from 1 species